rnacentral:rRNA from 1 species
AAGGUCUAACCUGCCCAAUGAUUUAUAUUUAAUGGCCGCGGUAUUUUAACUGUGCUAAGGUAGCAUAAUCAUUUGUCUUUUAAUUGAAGGCUGGUAUGAAUGGUUGGACGAGACAUAAACUUUCUUUAAUUUAAUUUAUGAAUUUAAUUUUUUAGUUAAAAAGCUAAAAUUUUUUUGUUGGACGAGAAGACCCUAUAGAUCUUAAUAUAUAAAUUAAUUCAAUAAUUUGGUUAAUUAAUUAUUUAAAUUAAAAUAAAUAUUUGGUUGGGGUGACUAUAGAAUUUAAAUAACUUCUAUUUUUAAUUUUCAUUUAUUUAUGUUUGAUUGAUCCAUUAAUAAUGAUUAUAAGUUUAAGUUACCUUAGGGAUAACAGCGUAAUUCUUUUGGAGAGUUCUUAUCGAUAAAAGAGUUUGCGACCUCGAUGUUGG